rnacentral:rRNA from 1 species
CAUGCAAGUCGAGCGGUAGCACAGAGAGCUUGCUCUCGGGUGACGAGCGGCGGACGGGUGAGUAAUGUCUGGGAAACUGCCUGAUGGAGGGGGAUAACUACUGGAAACGGUAGCUAAUACCGCAUAAUGUCGCAAGACCAAAGUGGGGGACCUUCGGGCCUCAUGCCAUCAGAUGUGCCCAGAUGGGAUUAGCUUGUAGGUGGGGUAACGGCUCACCUAGGCGACGAUCCCUAGCUGGUCUGAGAGGAUGACCAGCCACACUGGAACUGAGACACGGUCCAGACUCCUACGGGAGGCAGCAGUGGGGAAUAUUGCACAAUGGGCGCAAGCCUGAUGCAGCCAUGCCGCGUGUGUGAAGAAGGCCUUCGGGUUGUAAAGCACUUUCAGCGGGGAGGAAGGCGGUGAGGUUAAUAACCUCAUCGAUUGACGUUACCCGCAGAAGAAGCACCGGCUAACUCCGUGCCAGCAGCCGCGGUAAUACGGAGGGUGCAAGCGUUAAUCGGAAUUACUGGGCGUAAAGCGCACGCAGGCGGUCUGUCAAGUCGGAUGUGAAAUCCCCGGGCUCAACCUGGGAACUGCAUUCGAAACUGGCAGGCUAGAGUCUUGUAGAGGGGGG